GAUGAACGCUAGCGGCAGGCCUAAUACAUGCAAGUCGUACGGCAACACAGUUGCGAGCAAUCGCAACCGGUGGCGAGUGGCGCACGGGUGAGUAACGCGUAUGUAACCUACCCUUCUCCGGGACAUAACUCCGCGAAAGCGGUGCUAAUAUCCCAUACCAACUCAUCAAGACAUCUUCUUGAGUUGAAAGCAGCAAUGCGGUGAAGGAUGGGCAUGCGUCCCAUUAGCUGGUUGGUGAGGUAAUGGCCCACCAAGGCUACGAUGGGUAGGGGUUCUGAGAGGAAAGCCCCCCACACUGGUACUGAGACACGGACCAGACUCCUACGGGAGGCAGCAGUAAGGAAUAUUGGGCAAUGGUCGAAAGACUGACCCAGCCAUGCCGCGUGCAGGGAUGAAGGCCCUAUGGGUUGUAAACUGCUUUUAGCCGGGAAUAAACACCCGUUUUAAACGGGCCCGAAGGUACCGGCUGAAUAAGCAUCGGCUAACUCCGUGCCAGCACGG
rnacentral:rRNA from 1 species